rnacentral:tRNA from 1 species
GCCCCUGUCGUCUAGUCCGGCUAAGGACAGUGGCCCUUCGAGCCACUAACAUGGGUUCAAAUCCCAUCGGGGGCA